UAACAGUUCAAAACCUACCAGUGCUUCAGCAAAAACUGCAUUUUGAUCUCUCAGGUGCCAACAUUUGGUUCUCCUUGCUUCGGUAUAAUAGAAGAGGACAUCGGGACAUAAAAUGAAAACUAGCAGAGAAAUGCUACAUCUAAAUAUUUCUGGAUAUGACACAAGUAGAAAACGGGAAUAUGAAAAAUCAGAAAAAGAGAAUAAUGGAUGAGAUAAAGCAGAGGAAAUCAUGUCACAUGUCAGAAAAGUAAUGCCCAGUAAAGAAAUAUAGCAUGACAUAACACUCCUCCAUUGAAAGGCACAGAACUUUGUUC